UGGGGCUCGAUUCACACUGACUCGAGCCGCAAGGCGAGUUUAUGGUUCUUGAUUACACCCAGCAGGGAGGCCUUCUUAGUGAUGAGAGAGAAAAUAUUCAACAACCUGUCUUUGCAAUGUGCUGAUCUCUUGGAGAGAGAGAGAGAGAGAGAGAGAGCAGAGAAAGUGGAGGAGGGGUUUCAAAGGAGGGUGAUUUAUGAGUGGAAAGAAGGCUUUUUUAAAAAAAAAUCCAGGGCUCCCCCAAACUGCCUCAACAUUUCCUCUUUCUCAUCGUUGGGUUUUGCCUUGAUAUAACUUUGAGGCACAGUGAUUGCAUCCCUGUGGGUUUCUGCAAGCUGAUGCAAAGCUUAAAAGGAUGCAGGCCCGGAAGGCACUGUAGUCCAUCCAGCCUUCACUCAGCAUUGCCUCGCAGCUGGGAGAGGUCCUGGACAGCGCUGCCUGCAGAGGCUCCGUGCAGCCCAAUCCCCAAGCCCUUCUCUCCUUCACAGCCCUUUUCACAUUCUGCUUCAUACUUAAACUGCAUCUGCUUGCACUCGGCACCCAAACACGGUGCCUGGCUCAUGCUCGGUGUUAAUAAAUGAACAAAUGUGUGAACAGAUCUGAGCAUCAUUACGAGCUGCCAUGGAGGCCCUUCACUACCUUAAACUUCACAACAAGCCUAUGAGGCUCCUCCAGGUAGCCGAGCCUCAGCCACCAGGGCCACAGACUUCUCUGCUGCCUUGAGGGACCUACGGGACUAGCAGGAGCUGCUCUUCCUCGUACGACUUCUACCCACCCAGGGAUAUCACUUGACCUCUCUGAGCCUGCUUCCUCCUGGAGACAACAGUGUAUACUCAGGGCUAUUGCGGGGAAUGACAAGGAAAAUGGAUGAAAAUGUGCUGGAGAAAUUCUGAGGCAUCAGUCAGAUGAAAGCCCUACCUCUCCCUCUCAAAUCAGAGCCUGUUUGGCGAAGACUUUUCAGGUGUGCCGACUGCCCCAAGCUGACCCAGUGCGGAUCCUAACUGGCCCCACCAGCAUCUUCCAUGCUCACCCAGCUGGCCCAUGUCUUGAAGAUGCCCUGGGCUCCCAGCUCUGCCACCCCAGCUUUCUGAGUCUCCAUGGAUCGGGAUCACUGGGGACCCAGCAGGAAGAAGUUGGAGAAGAUAGGAAGGCAGGACGGGACUGGAAUGAUUCUAGGAUGACCACCCCACUGGCCCCUGCAGCAGAAGGAGCCUCAGCCUGGGCCCUGUCUCUGCCAACGCCCCCUCCUGGCAGAAUGGGCAGCCUAUCUGGGUAAAGACCUGCCCAGACCCCACAGCCAAGGGCAGCCCCUCAGAGAUUCAGGCCAGGAGCGGCCUUUGUUCCCCACACCUGGAGCUCAGAGCUUGCUUAGCCUGCGGUGGAAGCUCUGGUUUAAUUAAGGAUCUUAGGAGAGAAUUCUCUCUUGUUAUUUUCUGAAUAAAUUAAGGAAGUAACU
rnacentral:lncRNA from 10 species